GGGUUUCAACGGGUAACGGAAAAUCAGGGUUCGAUUCCGGAGAGGGAGCCUGAGAAACGGCUACCACAUCCAAGGAAGGCAGCAGGCGCGCAAAUUACCCAAUCCCGACCCGGGGAGGUAGUGACAAUAAAUACUGAUACAGGGCUCUUUUGGGUCUUGUAAUUGGAAUGAGUACAAUUUAAAUCCCUUAACGAGGAACAAUUGGAGGGCAAGUCUGGUGCCAGCACCCGCGGUAAUUCCAGCUCCAAUAACGUAUAUAAAAAUUGUUGCAGUUAAAAARCUCGUAGUUAAACCUUGGGCCGGGUUGGCCGGUCCCCCUCACCGCGUGCACUGGACCGGCCGGGCCUUUCCUUCUGGGGAGCCCCAUGCCCUUCCCUGGGCGUGCGGGGGAACCAGGACUUUUAUUUUAAAAAAAUUAAAAUGUUCAAAACAGGCCUUUGGUUGGAUACAUUACCAGGGAUAAAUGAAAUAGAACGUCGCGGUUCUAUUUUGUUGGUUCUUAGGACCGCCGUAAUGAUUAAUWGGGAUAGUCGGGGGCAUCUGUAUUCAAUUGUCAGAGGGGAAAUUUUUGGAUUUAUUGAAGACUAGAUAUUGCGAAAGCAUUUGCCAAGGAUGUUUUCUUUAAUCAGGGAACGAAAGUUAGGGGAUCGAAGACGAUCAGAAACCGUCGUAGUCUUAACCAUAAACUAUGCCGACUAGGGAUCGGGGGAUGUUAUCAUAUGACUCUGUCUCUGGCACCUUACGAGAAAUCAAAGUAUUGGUAAGACAGGAGUCAAUAAUAAA
rnacentral:rRNA from 1 species